CCUACGGGGGGCUGCAGUGGGGAAUCUUCCGCAAUGGGCGCAAGCCUGACGGAGCAACGCCGCGUGAAUGAAGAAGGCCUUCGGGUUGUAAAAUUCUGUCUUUGGGGAAGAAAAAAAUGACGGUACCCAAGGAGGAAGCCCCGGCUAACUACGUGCCAGCAGCCGCGGUAAAACGUAGGGGGCAAGCGUUGUCCGGAAUUACUGGGCGUAAAGGGCGUGUAGGCGGUCACUUAAGUCAGGGGUGAAAACUGUGGGCUCAACCCACAGCCUGCCUUUGAAACUGGGUGGCUUGAGGACAGGAGAGGGGAGUGGAAUUCCCAGUGUAGCGGUGAAAUGCGUAGAUAUUGGGAGGAACACCAGUGGCGAAGGCGGCUCUCUGGCCUGUUUCUGACGCUGAGACGCGAAAGCGUGGGUAGCGAACGGGCUUAGAUACCCCUGUAGUC
rnacentral:rRNA from 1 species